rnacentral:ncRNA from 1 species
GGCGUCUGAGGGCUUCGUGCCCAAAGUGCUAUGCUUCGGCCGGCAAAAAACAGUCAACUCAGAACUGGCACGGACCGGGGGAAUCCGACUGUCUAAUUAAAACAAAGCAUUGCGAUGGCCGCUGGUCGGUGUUGACGCAAUGUGAUUUCUGCCCAGUGCUCUGAAUGUCAACGUGAAGAGAUUCAUCAAAGCGCGGGUAAACGGCGGGAGUAACUAUGACUCUCUUGUUUCCUAUGGUUUGCAUGCCUUGGAUUCGGGGUGAGAGCAGAUAGUUGCUUGCCAAGCGCAAAGUCUAACUCCCAC